rnacentral:rRNA from 1 species
CCAGACUCCUACGGGAGGCAGCAGUGGGGGAUAUUGGACAAUGGGGGGAACCCUGAUCCAGCGACGCCGCGUGAGUGAAGAAGUAUUUCGGUAUGUAAAGCUCUGUCAGCAGGGAAGAAGAAAGUGACGGUACCUGACCAAGAAGCCCCGGCUAACUACGUGCCAGCAGCCGCGGUAAUACGUAGGGGGCAAGCGUUAUCCGGAAUUACUGGGUGUAAAGGGAGCGUAGACGGUAAUGUAAGUCUGGAGUGAAAUGCCGGGGCCCAACCCCGGAACUGCUUUGGAAACUGUGAAGCUGGAGUGCAGGAGAGGUAAGCGGAAUUCCUGGUGUAGCGGUGAAAUGCGUAGAUAUCAGGAGGAACACCGGCGGCGAAGGCGGCUUACUGGACUGUAACUGACGUUGAGGCUCGAAGGCGUGGGGAGCAAACAGGAUUAGAUACCCUAGUA